rnacentral:tRNA from 1 species
GUUCUUAUAGUUGAAGUUUACAACGGCGGCUUUUCAGGUCGCAGGUCUUGGGUAGAGGCCAAGUGAGAAUA